ACUCUUUUACUUAAAAAAAAUUAAUAAUAUUUAUUUAUAAAAAUUCUUUCACAUUUUUUGACUUAAAAGAAAAUGAAGGAUUUUUGCCCAUAUUACUCCCCCUAAGACGUACGCCGGUAUUGAUUCAGAGGAAUAUUUUGCCCAUAUUACGCCUAGAAAAUGAAUAAAGCUGUUUGGGAGAAGUACAACUACCAACAGGUUAAAGAAAAGCGAGGGAUUUGAUAUCACCAGAUUAUCCCGUACAGUGUGCGAUGACAACUGUCUACCCUGUGCCAUACUACUUGAAUGAUCCUAAGAAUGUUGAGAUACAAUGAUGAAACGGGCAUCAAUUAUGAGGUCAAUGACAUUUUGACGGUGGACGGAGGUGGUUGUCGUGACUUCGUCUUCUGUAUCACCUCUUCUGUCAAAACGCCUGAUGGUAAGGAUGUCAUUUUGACGGUGAUCAGGCUGAAGGUAAAAGCUUUUAUUGGUUAAGGCUGCUAUCAGCAACAUUAUGUCAUACAUUCUAUUUCUUCUGAUAUUUUUAGUGUGCUCAUAUUUCUUCAGAUGCUUUCAGCAUGUUUUAUUUAUAACCAGAGUCUUAAUAGAAUCAUGUGUCUAUGAGAUUAGGCUAUUGUACCACAAAAUCAGUAAUUGCGUAUCAGAAUGGAUACCAGAGUUGCUUUGUCAUGUUAUGUAAUUUGUAUGUCUGGUAAAUUUAACUGAUAGUAUGUGCUAUCUCCCCUUUGUCAGUGAUCUUUAACUUUUAGUAUUAUGAACAAAUACAUUAAUUUUGAAGGGGGGAAAUUUCAGUAAAAAUAGCACUGCCCGAGAAGUUCUUUACUGCCUUUUUUCCUCUUAGCGCUGCUUUAUAUUCACCUUAAGGAUGUUAAAUAAGUGCUUCGGUAACUAGAAGCUUAGAGAGCAGUGAUGCUCCAGUAGUUCCUAAAUUGGCGUGGAAAUCUCUAGUCUGAAACGUGAGUUUGCUAAGUCGAAAACCCCCCACCUUAUAGUAGGGUUCACUGAGAUGGUUACUAAAUUUAUGAUACUCAUAAGUUUUACUCCGCCCAAGUAGAUAGCUGAGUGGUCAAAUGAACCGUGUUUGUGCCUUUUCUCCAUCUCUCAACCUAUCUUUUGCAAAAAAAAAUAAAAAUUAUCAUCUCCAUUGUGAUGAGCAGGCAGGUUUGGCUUUCUGUUACCAGGCAGAGCUUUUGAAAAAAUUUUUUAGUAGAUUUUGAUUGCAAUGUAGUUCUCUGAUUAAUAAUCAAAAAUGAAGUUUGAGGUCUAAUCGCAUUGUUUUUUUGUUGUUAUUGCUUCCAUAUGUGUAUCCCCUUUUCAAACUAUUUGGCAAAGCUUAUUUAAGGUUUAUUGAAAACAACCUCUCUAUUUCUACGAGGUAGGGGUAAGGUAUGCGUACACUCUACCCUCCUCGGAUCAGACCUCACUUGUGGGAUUACAGUAUGUGGUUGUAAUUUAGAAAAGGAUUCUUUUUUUAACAUUGUUUAAAAGCGAACUUGGCAAUUGUUAGUAUGCAAAUAUCUCAUUGUUUCAAAUCCAUAUCAAGCACAGUUUUCUUGCAUUGUACACAGAGACUUCUAGCCACAAUAUGCAAAAUUUUCUUGAAUAAUCUCACUUUGCAGUAGGGGCUUGCCUACGGACAAAGCUUUAAUAGCUUGGUUUGCCUGUUUGACUCCAUAAAAGGGGCUAACUUCUGAAGCCAUGCUUACCUAGCAAGUCAUCAAAUGGAAAUGGAUGGUCACUUUUAGUAAGAAAACAUCUUAUUUUUGGGUAUAGGGUAAGAAGGAACAAGCCACCAUUUGUGCUUGUGUUCUUAAACGUAAGGAAUAUAGACCAAUCAGGAUGAGGCAAAUUCUUCGUCCUCUAAAGGACAACAAGGAGAUGUCAAUUAUAAUUGCUGCAAGUUCCUGUUUGUUUAAAGAAACAAUCUUUUGAUAACCUUACCCGGUCUAACUUGGAUUUUGGAUCACUGUCAAUCAAGAUGCUACCUAGGCAGCGUCCUUGCACCAGAUGCUGCUGCAGCUGCCUCAUUAUGUAAGGGGCUUUUUAGUUUAUAAUUAUCUGGGCCUCCAAAUCAUAUUUUUCAAAAACGAUGUUACCAACUGAAAUCUCUUAGCUCUCAUAAUGUUCUUUAUUUAGUUUCAAAUAGCCGAAUUCUCUAAAUCAAGUAUGUAUCUGGAAGAUUCUGCCACUGAGCUUUUAUGGAUUUUGCUCUACAUCAUGUGGAGUUCUGUAUUAGAAAUCCAAAUGAACUAAAAGAUUCCGUAAUUUUGCCAGCCUUGCUACAGCACUAAGUUAGAUCCCUUGUAUUUGGUGCUGGAAAGUCAAGCAUUUCUGCAUGCUGUCAAACUAUUUCUUGCCUGUGUGCUUUUUUCCUUUGAUAAGGGAUUUCUUGCUUGUAUUCUCAAGUAUUUAUACCUAGUGAUAAAUGUCAGUUUAAUAACUUCAGCUGGUGUAAUUGGGUUAAUUUGGCAGAUUCAGUAAGUAUCCUCAUGACAUCUUUGAAGUGUUAGGAUUUGUUUAUUGCCUGAGUUUUGAUGUACCUUCCUUUCUUUUUAUCAAAAGAUUAAAAAAAAUCUUCAUCCUUUGAGUGCUUCAGAUCUUGGUCAGAAUUAAGCUCACCUCCUCUAAUGUGCAGAAAACAAAUUUGGUCUUAUUACUCUAUGGAGUUAUUUUCUUGAAGAUUCCGUAAAUCAUAUGUAGGUCAUUGGUUCUCAUAUUUCAUCUAUUAGCAGUAUUUCACUAGUACAAGCUUUCAUUUCAAAGAACUAUUGUCAAAAGCAUCGCUGUAUGUUGACGGAGUAGCUACAUGGAGCAUGGUAUUCACCUAACUUGCGUGGAUUCACUUUAGAUGUUGCACCCGUGUCAUCAGAUACUCCAAAAAUACAAAAUUCUGUUGACAUUUUUGAAGAGUUUGAGCAACAUAGGUUUUCACAAGUAGGGGAGCGUGUGAGUGGUGAAACAGACUCUUAUUGAGUCUCCAACCUAGUUUCAUACUUCAUAAUGCAUUGCAUUUGAAAAUCUAGCUUACCAGUGUAGUUAAUACAUUGGAAUAACUUCUUGAAAACUUUUUGCAUUCACUUCUCCGUGGGAAUAACCUGAUUCACUUCAGCAGCCUUUAUCAUGUAAGUAGUGGCUUUAAAACUCUAUAUGCAGGUGACUGUUGAACUGGAUCGAUGCUAUAUGCAUUGAAGUUUUGCUUUGCAAAAUAGAUUUCCUCUUGUUCUUCUCCUUAUAUGAGUUCUUGGAGUCUCCGUUUGUGUUAUCUUUCUGGAUCUUCAGCUAUAGUCGUGAGACGAUCUUUAUUAACAAAAUUAUACGUUUCAGGGAUCAUGCUGACUGAAGAAUAAAGUCACUCUAGCAAGAUCAAUCUACCCCCACCAUCAAUGCUCAGACCUACGGAUGCUGUAUCUUGAGAUUCGCUUUGACAUAGUACCUCUGUGUGCUGGUAUAAGCUAUGCAAUCUACUCUUCAUUUCCCCUUGUUCUUGCACGUGAAACGUAGAAACAUUUGUUCAGUUGGAAAUAAACAAAUUAGUAGUAAGAAUGCUGCAUUGCUACCUGGUGGUUUCGUUGCAUUACGUAAUAAACUUUUUGGUUUCUCCUCCUUGGUAUUUUUCGAGAUCAAGCUGAGUAUAAUGCAGCAUUAUUAAGGUGGAAUCUAAGAUGUAAUUACUAUACAGUAACAGAAUAAGUUCUAUGUUUAAAAUCUGUUUCAAAGGAAAUGUUCUGUUCAGUAUCAUAGGAUGCUGCAUAUGUACGUUGAAGUUUAUCCUGUAUAGAUUUUCAUUCUACUCA